rnacentral:other from 1 species
AAUCCCCUGCGAUGCGCGUGAUUAACAUUCGUUUUUUGAGCCAACACCUUGGAACAGGGGGCCUUCCCUUACGGGCUGUGUGCAUGUUCGCUAUUUAGCCGCUUUGGCGGAGGCGAAAAGCCUAAGGCCUGUAACAAGGCGCCCACUUUGUGAAGAGGUUCAAAAAGGUAGUUAACACGGCAUAGGCGGGGGUUCC